UACGAAGGGGGCUAGCGUUGCCCGGAAUCACUGGGCGUAAAGGGCGCGUAGGCGGCCAUUCAAGUCAGAGGUGAAAGCCCAAGGCUCAACCUUGGAACUGCCUUUGAUACUGUUUGGCUUGAGACCGGUAGAGGUAAGUGGAACUGCGAGUGUAGAGGUGAAAUUCGUAGAUAUUCGCAAGAACACCAGUGGCGAAGGCGGCUCACUGGCCCGGUACUGACGCUGAGGUGCGAAAGCGUGGGGAGCAAACAGG
rnacentral:rRNA from 1 species